UUGGCGGAACCCACCGCCCACGACACCGCGACCAGCGACGCACCGGCCAACACCGCGGUGCAGGACGACCGAAGCCCCGGUGAACGGCGGCCGUAACUAUAACGGUCCUAAGGUAGCGAAAUUCCUUGUCGGGUAAGUUCCGACCUGCACGAAUGGCAUAAUGAUGGCGGCGCUGUCUCCAGCAGAGACUCAGUGAAAUCGAAAUCGCAGUGAAGAUGCUGUGUACCCGCGGCUAGACGGAAAGACCCCGUGAACCUUUACUACAGCUUUACAUUGAACUUUGACCUUACCUGUGUAGGAUAGGUGGGAGGCUUUGAAGCAGGCACGCCAGUGUCUGUGGAGCCAUCCUUGAAAUACCACCCUGGUAAUGUUGGGGUUCUAACUCAAGCUUAACAGAGCUGAGGACAAUGUAUGGUGGGUAGUUUGACUGGGGCGGUCUCCUCCUAAAGAGUAACGGAGGAGCUCGAAGGUACGCUCAGCGCGGUCGGACAUCGCGCACUGUGUGCAAAGGCAUAAGCGUGCUUGACUGCAAGAUCGACGGAUCAAGCAGGUAGGAAACUAGGCCUUAGUGAUCCGGUGGUUCUGUAUGGAAGGGCCAUCGCUCAACGGAUAAAAGGUACUCUGGGGAUAACAGGCUGAUACCGCCCAAGAGUUCAUAUCGACGGCGGUGUUUGGCACCUCGAUGUCGGCUCGUCGCAUCCUGGGGCUGGAGCAGGUCCCAAGGG
rnacentral:rRNA from 1 species